UACAAGUGCAGAAAAACUAUUCGGCUGGUUGUUACCGGCCUGUUUCUUUUGUUACUUUUGUUUUUUAUCUGACUUGUACGACGUGUCUAACUAGAAAUUAUUACAUUUUACAUUUUAAAGACAAUCGCAUAUUAAUAAAAGAAGAUUUUUUUUUUAAAUUCCAUACCGGUUUAUGUACUACGAUGUUUGGAUGUAUUUAGUCUUUAAUUAAUUAGUACAUUUGCUUUAACUUCAGGGCUUUUCAAAUCUUUAAGUAGUGUCCGAAUAAAAUUUAUACUAUCUUUAAAUAUAUAUAUGCAUAUAAUCUCCACACCACUCCAAGAAACAAAGAAAGAAUUCAACAAACAAAAAAAAGCAGUUCAUACAAAUAUAACAACCCCCCCCCCCCCCCCCAAAAAAAAAAAAACAACAAAAAACAAAAAAACAAGCAAAAAAAAAAAAGAAACAUGAAUAACACAUUUUAGAGUUUUAUGACGUUUAAUAAUCAAAUUAGAAAAAAAAAAUCCAUCAAACGUAAAGAAAUGCGUACAUAUGAAAGCAAUGAAAUAAAGACAUAUAUAAAUAAAGACAAAAACGAUUAUAACUGUUUUAUCAGACAUUAAAUGAAAAGAAAAGUAUUGAAUUUUGACUCGUUUUUAAUUUUUUGUGUGGAAAUCAUAAUGUUCAGUCUAUUUUCGUGCUCGUUGGAAUUAUUUGAUAUUCGAGUAGACCCAGGAAUUGAACACGUAACACACUAUAUUGGCAUUUACCCAAUCUUGAUUGUCUAAAAUGGGUGAUAGUCUAUUUGACAUGGAGACGGAUUUCGCUUUGUCACAGUUCAAUUUAAGCAAGUUUCUUGAAGAUGAAGAAAAGAGGGGACAUCUUCCGUACAGUUUAGAUUUAGACGACACGGAAGAUUUUAGCCUAACUUCCAAGCAAACCAACGAGAGGUUUGGACGACCAGCUACAACAGACGAGGUGCAGCUUACCAUGCUAAAGAGCUUUCCGGCAAACACAGUCAAAAACACUAACUAGGGCAUAAAUACCUACGACGCAUGGGGCAGAUGGCGUAAUGAAUAUGUUGGAACAAACGGGACAUCUUCUAGUGAACAAUAUACCCUUGUGCCUCCUUUAAAUUCGGAACUAUCUGCCGAAGAAUUGGAUUUCUGGCUUACCAAGUUUGUUGUAGAGGUUAAAAGACAAGAUGGCACGGAGUACCCGGCAGACUCUUUGAGAUUACUGUGUACGGCAAUAUGGAGACACCUCCGAGAUACUUGUAGGCGGUACGAUUUAAAUCCUUUGAAUAAGGAAAACUCUAAGUUUGCCACCUUCCAGCAUACUUUAGACGGAAAAAUUAAGGACAUUGAACGCCUUAAUCCUCACGUUCCAAAACGGGCUGAACCCAUCACUGCAGAAGAAGAAAACAAAAUUUGGAUAGCUUUGUUUUAUAACUAUGAAAAUGAUUCGAAAUGCCUGUCGUAUGCUGUGUAUUUUUACAAUUGUAAAUUAUUUGCUUUGAGAGCAGCCGACGAACAUUCUGAUCUAGAAGUCAAUCAAUAUACAUUCGGACGUAGUGAAGAAGGUUUUUAUCUUCAGUUCCAGGGGAAAACUUCCAAAAAUUGUCAAGGCGGUAUCUACCACAAAAAGGCUGAAAAAAAAUGUCUCCGACAGUAUGAAAAUACACUCAAUUCGAGGUGUGUUGUUAAGCUGUUCCAGUUUUACCUUUCCAUGAUACCAUCAGACGGGGCCUUUUACAGACGUCCAAUAGCAGGAAAGACGGCAUCAGGACAUUCAAAGUUUUCACGACAAAAGAUAGGCAUACAUACAAUCCAAGGCUACAUGAAAGACAUGUGCAAACAGGCCGAUGUAGGUGGCAGAAAAACAGGUCAUUCAGGAAAGGUUACUACUGCAACAAUGCUCUUCCGUGACAAUUUCGACGAGCAGCUUAUAAAAGAGCGUACGGGUCACAAGAGUGACGCAGUCAGAACGUACAAAAGAACCAGUGAAGACCAAGGAAAAAGGAUUUCUGACGUACUUCAGCCUCCCGUAGAUGUAAAGAAAGUAAAACCUGCCGACCAGAAAAUAUCCGAAUCGCAGAUGAAAAUGCCAGUUGUUCAAUCAAACAAUGAGGGCAGCUAUAUCAAAUUUUCCAAAGGAGAUGUGUAUCUUGAAUUUAAACUGUAAUAAGCUGACCAACAACAUAGAGUGCAAAUUAAUCAUUAUUAAAAUGUUACUUUUCAGUGAUUUUCUUUUGAAUGAUCACGCAUAUUUAUUUAUGUUAAAACCCAUAUUCCGUCAGAGUAAUUUAAUUUUGAAGCAUUAAAAUCCUAGAUUUUUUUCGCAGCAUAAAUGAGUUGUCUUGUUUAUUCGUUCGCUUGCUCGCACCUGUUGCUACUCUAAUUUACCAAAUUUGAUCAGAUUUGAUUAUAUAUAUUUCCUGUCUUUUUUAUUGAAAUAUAAACGUCGGUACCAGCAUUUCUUUACCUUCAGCAUUGUCCACACUACUAUUCAUGUAAAAAAAAAAAUUAUUUACGGACCGACCUUUCAGCUUCAAAAGGGGGUAUGUUUUUUUUUCGGAGUAAGAAAUUAUAUAGUUUUUCAACGCUUUCACCCAAAUAUUGUUUUUCGAAAUUAGAACUAUGAUAUACAGUAUACGGGAAAUCAGGAAUCAGAACAUUGUCUUGUCAUCUGCUCGACCACAAUAUAUUUUUCUCAUAAAAAUUGGGGAUCAGAAUAUUUUGUAGGAAAAAAACAUAACACCCCUUUUUAAGUUAAAUGGUCAAUCCUUAAGUGUACUGAUAUAAAUAGUAAUAUAGUGGAAUUUUUUUUAAAUAUUAUUAUAGUUAUUGAUGCCAAAGUAAAUAUUUUAAUAAAAAAGCCAGGAAAUAUGUCGGUGAAACAAAAAGUUCAAAUCUUAUUGAAAUUUAAAGUGCCCUUGAACUCACUGUCAUGCACGAGUGAUUCUAUUCAUUAAAACAGUCCGUGUAACAACUAAAAAGUGUCCGUGUAUCAUCUAAAAAGAGUCCGUGUAACACCCGUUAAUGUACUGUUUUUCUAUAGCUCUGCUGGGGGUAAA